UACAGAGGGGGCAAGCGUUGUUCGGAAUUACUGGGCGUAAAGGGCGCGUAGGCGGCCUUCUAAGUCGAACGUGAAAUCCCCGGGCUCAACCCGGGAACUGCGUCCGAGACUGGAAGGCUUGAAUCCGGGAGAGGGAUGUGGAAUUCCAGGUGUAGCGGUGAAAUGCGUAGAUAUCUGGAAGAACACCCGUGGCGAAAGCGGCUCUCUGGAACGGUACUGACGCUGAGACGCGAAAGCGUGGGGAGCAAACAGG
rnacentral:rRNA from 1 species